rnacentral:lncRNA from 1 species
AUGCCCCCAGUGGAAGAAGACAAGAGUGAGUCAAUUGUGUUAAAGAAGAUUUCAGUUGAGAAACACAUACAUGUCAAAGAGAGAGUAAGUCCUAAGGAGACAGUUCUGGAUGUUCAAAUGGUAGAGCCACUUGAGUUGAAAAUCUCACUGGAAACAGCUGAUGGAAUACUGAAGCUAGAGAGAGAUGAUCAAGCGGCCCUUAAAUAUUUUGUGCUGGCUCCUGAAGGAGGGGAGCCAGAAAUGACACAAACAGGUUCAAGAAAAACUCCUACCCCUACAGGUGAGAAAAGAGAAGUUACAAUAGAUCACAUUAUUUAUGAAAAAGAUGAACCACUACUACCUGAUGGGGAAUUAAAGUUGAUCUAUAUGUCAUCUGAAUAUGAGGAAAGUGAUUCCAGAGAAGAAAAGGGGGGUGGAACUAAAUUGGCUGUUCAUAAGAAACGUGCUAUAGAGAGAGUCUCUGACAAGUCUAGGGUUCUUCAGGAAAGAAAGAUUCCUGUGCAUGAAAAAGGAGAGGAAACUGAGUCAGCUUCUGUACCUAAACGUAUACUCAGAGAGCCUUAUGAGCCCGGAGACCAGAAAAUACUAAGAAAAGGGAGAAAAUCAAAAAUAAGUUUGCAGCCCGAGGAAUCUCCCAUUAUGGAUGAAACUUUGUUUGUAAAGAGUAUCACAGAAACAAAAAUAACUGAAAUUCCUCUGAUUAGAAGUGAGGAUAGAGAAGGAUUUACUCUAGAGAAAUCUGAAGUUCCUCUUCAAGAAUCCAUGAAAGACAGUGACAUACAGAAGAAAACUCAACAGAUGAAAUAUGGUACUACAGUAGCUGAAAUUCCUAUUGAUGAGAUUCUUAGUAAAGAAGCAAAUAAAAUGAAAACUAUUCAAGAUGAUGAGAAAAUGGACCUUACAUCAGCAGAACCAUAUUCCUUAGAACUAUAUUCCUUAGAACUGUUGAAUAAGACUACUGAGCCAGCAUUGAAAAAAGGUGUUGAUCUAGAAUACCCCACUGAAGAAGAGGAGAUUCCCAGAGAAAAAUUUUACAGAAUCUUUGAACAGUCUAUUCCUAAGCCACAAGUAGUGGAAAUGAAACCAGGAGCUAAAUAUUCUGCACAGGAAGGAGAACCCACUGAAGUUCAUUAUGCAGAGGGUUCAGAAAUAUUGACUGAGAAAGCACUACUAAGUGAUAGAAAAAUCAGCAAGAAGAUAACAUCAGGGAAUGAAGACAAAACUACUUCCAGCACCCACUUAAAAGACAAAUUUAGACAGUCAAAUGCCCCUGAAAAGUUGCCUGUGGAGAAAGAAUUUGAUACAGUGAUUACAGGAGGAGGAAUAGAAGGUGAAGUUUCCAUAGGAGAACAUGAAAAAGGAGUCACAGAUGAAAUAGCUGACAGAACUGACUCCAUAAAGAAAGCUCUUAUUCAGCCACCAAAAAGCCAAGAUAAAAACCAAUUCCAUAAACUUCAUACCUCUCCAGAUGAAAGUGAAGAAGCUCCAGCCCUUAAAGGCAGCAAAGCUAAAACUGAAGAAGAGAAAGACUCUUUGACUGUGGAAGAAGUGAAGAUUUCUAGAAGACAGCUUCAAGGUACAGAACCUACUUCAGAUGAAAAAACAGCAGCUAAAAAUGGCAUUAGAAAAAGCACAUCUCUUAGCAAGAAAAAACAGAAGGAAAACCUUCCAGACAAAAUACCAUCAAGCAAAGGAAUAUCUGCAAGUGAAACAAUCACUCACUCCUCAAGCAUAGGUAAGAUAAUCACUCCGAAGAAUGUAGGAAAGAAGGAGUACUGGAAAUCAGAACCCACUCACAUGAAUGAGCAGGCCGGUAGCCUUUUAAGUGAGGGCAGGAAUUUGGAUGCACCUGGAGAAUCACAUCAAUUUCUGGACGUUCCUGCAAAGUCUCAUGCAAAGCGAGGUGAGGAAGACUGCUGCCAAAUUCUUCCACAAAGUGCUCUUACUAUUUGCUUCAAGAGAAAAUACCGUUUUCCAUUGUGA